CUUUAAUAAAAGUUUUUUUCAGACAAAAAAUGCAUUUGUUCUGAGCAAUUUCAGAUGAUAUAGGAAGAACUUUCAGGGAAGAAUGGACGGGUGGUUCUCCAAGCUAGACGAAAGACUUGAGAAACAUCUCGGAGCAGAAAAUGUGGCUAAACUAAGAACGGUAAUUGGUCAUGUUGGUCUGUAUGUUGGACUUAUCAUAUACACGGCUUUAGGUGCAUGGAUUUUCCAAAUCAUUGAGCAUCCUCAUGAAUUAGAUAUUC